CGACAACAUCUUUUCGAACCUCUCUGGCAGCCAAGCCUCCGCAACACUCCCAAGUUUUGCCGACGGAUAAGCACCCACCAGCAUCGACCAGAUUCUUCGUGACAGACGGACUCCACCCAAGUUUCCACGAUGAUCGACUACCUUCUAGACUGCACCCGAACUCCUACGGGAGCCGGACUUCGUCCCCGACUCUGGCUGCAGGAACACUUCGUCCGAACUCCUAUGGGAGUCGGACUUCGUCCCCGACUUCAAUCGCAGGUAGACUUCGUCCGAACUCCUACGAGAGCCAGACUUCAUCCCCGAUUCCAACUGCAGGUAGACUUCGUCUGGGCUCCCACGGAAGUCAGACUUCCACCCUAAAUUCCUAUCGCAGGUAGAUCUCACCCCGAACUCCUACAAGGGCCGGACUCCGAGCUUCUACUGCAAGUGACCCACUCUGAGUUUUCGCUGCAAAUGAUCUACUUCAAAUUUCUACCACGAGCGGUCCGUGCCAGAUUCCCACCGUAAGCCUUCACCUGAGCUUCCAUUAUGGACGAAUUCCUUUCGGAUCUCUGUUGCAGACAGGCCUUGGCCGAGACUCCUUGACAAAUGAUCCCCAUCCGGGCUUCUACGG
rnacentral:lncRNA from 1 species